rnacentral:rRNA from 1 species
ACUCCUACGGGAGGCAGCAGUGGGGAAUAUUGCACAAUGGGCGUAAGCCUGAUGCAGCAACGCCGCGUGAGGGACGACGGCCUUCGGGUUGUAAACCUCUUUUAGUAGGGAAGAAGCGAAAGUGACGGUACCUGCAGAAAAAGCACCGGCUAACUACGUGCCAGCAGCCGCGGUAAUACGUAGGGUGCAAGCGUUAUCCGGAAUUAUUGGGCGUAAAGAGCUCGUAGGCGGUUUGUCGCGUCUGCUGUGAAAACUGGAGGCUCAACCUCCAGCCUGCAGUGGGUACGGGCAGACUAGAGUGCGGUAGGGGAGAUUGGAAUUCCUGGUGUAGCGGUGGAAUGCGCAGAUAUCAGGAGGAACACCGAUGGCGAAGGCAGAUCUCUGGGCCGUAACUGACGCUGAGGAGCGAAAGCAUGGGGAGCGAACAGGAUUAGAUACCCUGGUAGUCCAUGCCGUAAACGUUGGGAACUAGAUGUAGGGACCAUUCCACGGUUUCUGUGUCGCAGCUAACGCAUUAAGUUCCCCGCCUGGGGAGUACGGCCGCAAGGCUAAAACUCAAAGGAAUUGACGGGGGCCCGCACAAGCGGCGGAGCAUGCGGAUUAAUUCGAUGCAACGCGAAGAACCUUACCAAGGCUUGACAUAUACCGGAAAAGUUCAGAAAUGUUCUCCCCGCAAGGUCGGUAUACAGGUGGUGCAUGGUUGUCGUCAGCUCGUGUCGUGAGAUGUUGGGUUAAGUCCCGCAACGAGCGCAACCCUCGUUCUAUGUUGCCAGCACGUAAUGGUGGGAACUCAUAGGAGACUGCCGGGGUCAACUCGGA